rnacentral:misc_RNA from 1 species
AACACUGUUAACCUGCGGUACCUGCGGAAGGAUCAUUAACGUAUCUAAGGCGCUCGGCCGCGUGCCCUGCUCCGGCCGAAAGGUCGUGCAGCGGGCCGAGGCAGACGCCUAACCUUCACAAACCCCACUGUGCACCUUCACGGCGGAGGCCGUCGGGCGAGAGCCUGUCGGUCGAAGCCGUCUCUACAAACACUAGUAUUAAGAAUGUCAAAGCGACCCAGUCGCCCAUUAAACAUAACA